rnacentral:rRNA from 1 species
AACGAACGCUGGCGGCAUGCCUAACACAUGCAAGUCGAACGAGACCUUCGGGUCUAGUGGCGCACGGGUGCGUAACGCGUGGGAACCUGCCCUUAGGUUCGGAAUAACUCCCCGAAAGGGGUGCUAAUACCGGAUAAUGUCUUCGGACCAAAGAUUUAUCGCCUUUGGAUGGGCCCGCGUUGGAUUAGCUAGUUGGUAGGGUAAAAGCCUACCAAGGCGACGAUCCAUAGCUGGUCUGAGAGGAUGAUCAGCCACACUGGGACUGAGACACGACCCAGACUCCUACGGGAAGCAGCAGUGGGGAAUAUUGGACAAUGGGCGAAAGCCUGAUCCAGCAAUGCCGCGUGAGUGAUGAAGGCCUUAGGGUUGUAAAGCUCUUUUACCCGGGAUGAUAAUGACAGUACCGGGAGAAUAAGCUCCGGCUAACUCCGUG